rnacentral:pre_miRNA from 2 species
AGGUUCUGUGAUACACUCAGACUCGGGCUCUGGAGCAGUCAGUGCAUGACAGAACUUGG